UACAGAGGUCCCAAGCGUUGUUCGGAUUCAUUGGGCGUAAAGGGUGCGUAGGUGGCGCCGUAAGUCGGGUGUGAAAUUUCGGAGCUUAACUCCGAAACUGCAUUCGAUACUGCGGUGCUUGAGGACUGGAGAGGAGACUGGAAUUCAUGGUGUAGCAGUGAAAUGCGUAGAGAUCAUGAGGAAGACCAGUGGCGAAGGCGGGUCUCUGGACAGUUCCUGACACUGAGGCACGAAGGCCGGGGGAGCAAACGGG
rnacentral:rRNA from 1 species